rnacentral:lncRNA from 10 species
CGCAGCUUGCACAGAAGGUAUGGGAAUGGCAUUACUGCUUUAUUCUUUGCCUUGGUCUACACAGGAAUAAAGCACUCAAUCCAGAGGCACUCAUGGUGGGGGAAGAGAAGAGACUUGCAUCUGGACAUGGCAGCCGUGGGCUGGUUGUCAACACACCAGGGAAGAACACAAAUGCAGACCCCGUGAGGGUGGGCAGUGCUAGCCCCAUUUAUGCUACUAUUUGCUGGAUUGAGUCUGUUACGCACCUUCUCUAUGCCUCAGCUUUCUCAUCUGUAAUAUGUGGGGUAGAUUAUAUGAAUCUAUCUUUAAAAUACUAAGAUUUGAAUGCUCUAUAGAAAUACUGUGAGUUUAAAUUUGACUUACAGGAAAAGGCAUGAUGAGCUUGUGAUUCUUGUAAAAAUGAAUGGAAGAGAAAAACCCAGUUGUCAUUCUGUUUUUAUAUGUUGCUUCAAUACAGCUUUAUUCUUCCAGAAUAAAGAAAAAUCAUCUAGAGUUCCA